rnacentral:rRNA from 1 species
GACGAACCGUGCAAACGUUAUUCGGAAUCACUGGGCAUAAAGGGCGCGUAGGCGGCUCGAAAAGUCAGGGGUGAAAUCCGGCAGCUUAACUGUCGCAGUGCCUUUGAUACUGUCGAGCUCGAGGGAGGUAGGGGUCUGUGGAACUUCCGGUGGAGCGGUGAAAUGCGUUGAUAUCGGAAGGAACGCCGGUGGCGAAAGCGACGGACUGGAUCUCUUCUGACGCUGAGGCGCGAAAGCGUGGGGAGCGAACAGG